AGUGAACGCUGGCGGUAGGCCUAACACAUGCAAGUCGAACGGCAGCACAGUAAGAGCUUGCUCUUACGGGUGGCAGGUGGCGGACGGGUGAGGAAUACAUCGGAAUCUACUUUUUCGUGGGGGAUAACGUAGGGAAACUUACGCUAAUACCGCAUACGACCUACGGGUGAAAGCAGGGGAUCUUCGGACCUUGCGCGAUUGAAUGAGCCGAUGUCGGAUUAGCUAGUUGGCGGGGUAAAGGCCCACCAAGGCGACGAUCCGUAGCUGGUCUGAGAGGAUGAUCAGCCACACUGGAACUGAGACACGGUCCAGACUCCUACGGGAGGCAGCAGUGGGGAAUAUUGGACAAUGGGCGCAAGCCUGAUCCAGCCAUACCGCGUGGGUGAAGAAGGCCUUCGGGUUGUAAAGCCCUUUUGUUGGGAAAGAAAAGCAGCAGGUUAAUACCCCGCUGUUCUGACGGUACCCAAAGAAUAAGCACCGGCUAACUUCGUG
rnacentral:rRNA from 1 species